AGAGUUUGAUCCUGGCUCAGAACGAACGCUGGCGGUAUGCUUAACACAUGCAAGUUGAACGGACUAAUUUGGAGCUUGCUCUGAAUUAGUUAGUGGCAAACGGGUGAGUAACACGUGGGAAUCUACCCAUCAGUACGGAACAACAUUUGGAAACAGAUGCUAAUACCGUAUAUUCUCUAAGGAGGAAAGAUUUAUCGCUGAUGGAUGAGCCCGCGUCAGAUUAGGUAGUUGGUGGGGUAAUGGCCUACCAAGCCGACGAUCUGUAGCUGGUCUGAGAGGAUGAUCAGCCACACUGGGACUGAGACACGGCCCAGACUCCUACGGGAGGCAGCAGUGGGGAAUAUUGGACAAUGGGCGAAAGCCUGAUCCAGCAAUACCGCGUGAAUGAUGAAGGCCUUAGGGUUGUAAAGUUCUUUUAGCAGGGAAGAUGAUGACGGUACCUGCAGAAA
rnacentral:rRNA from 1 species